UCACCCCUCAAGCCUGGCUUGAUGUUGGACGGUUGGUCUUUCGGCUCCCCGACAGACCCCUCCCAAAGAUAACGACGGCGGCCUGUUCACCCCCGGUACACUGAGCUUCUUAACUGAGCACGUAUCGGUCUUUAACGGUGGCGGGACCCGGUCUUCUUCCUUCAUUGGAAAAUCCUUCUCAA
rnacentral:misc_RNA from 1 species